rnacentral:RNase_P_RNA from 1 species
GAAAUACAGAGGAAAGUCCGGGCUUCGCAGGGCAGGAUGCCGGAUAACGUCCGGUGGAGGUGACUCUAAGGAAAGUGCAACAGAAAGUAUACCGCCUGAUUUUCAGGUAAGGGUGAAAUGGCAGUGUAAGAGACUACCGCCCGGGUGGUAACACGCGGGGCAGUGUAAACCCCAUCCGAAGCAAGACCAAGAAGAAGCUAUACGGUUGCCCGCCGUGCUUCGGGUAGGUCGCUUGAGGUCGUCGGUAACGGCGAUCCUAGAUAGAUGAUUGUCGCGGAAUAUUCCGUACAGAACCCGGCUUAUUG